ensembl:snRNA U6 U6 spliceosomal RNA
CUGCUCACUUUGGCAGCACAAAUACUAAAAUUGGAACAAUACAGAGAAGAUUAUCAAGGCCCCUUUGCAAGGAUGACACGCCAAUUCAUGAAGCACUGCACAUUUUU